rnacentral:rRNA from 1 species
CUUCGGUCUAGUGAGGGUAUAGAGAGCGGCGGACGGGUGAGUAACGCGUAGGCAACCUGCCCCAUACACAGGGAUAGCCUCGGGAAACCGGGAUUAAAACCUGAUAAUGCGAGAAGUUCACAUGGACAACUCGCCAAAGAUUUAUCGGUAUGGGAUGGGCCUGCGUCUGAUUAGCUAGUUGGUGGGGUAACGGCCUACCAAGGCGACGAUCAGUAGCCGACCUGAGAGGGUAAUCGGCCACAUUGGAACUGAGACACGGUCCAAACUCCUACGGGAGGCAGCAGUGGGGAAUAUUGCACAAUGGGCGAAAGCCUGAUGCAGCAACGCCGCGUGAGCGAUGAAGGCCUUUGGGUCGUAAAGCUCUGUCCUUGGGGAAGAAAAAAAUGACGGUACCCUUGGAGGAAGCCCCGGCUAACUACGUGCCAGCAGCCGCGGUAAUACGUAGGGGGCAAGCGUUAUCCGGAAUUAUUGGGCGUAAAGAGUGCGUAGGUGGUUUUGUAAGCGCGGGGUGAAAGGCUAUGGCUCAACCAUAGUAAGCCUUGCGAACUG